rnacentral:misc_RNA from 1 species
GCUUUGUACCUUACGGUGGUGCAGACAUCUGGUGGAGUGCGGGGAGGUGGUGUGCCCCACGUCUGGCCAGAGAUAUCGUCUACAGAGAGUUGUUCCUCUCCUCGCGCUCUCUGCCGCCGUGGCUCCAGAGAACUUGGUUCCCGCCAGGAUCCUGAGGCACUGUGUCUUAAUGCAGCUCCCGCACAUUGCCUCCGCCACCUGCGAGUACAUCAUAAAGGUGUGUCUUCAGGACGUGCUUGUGGAAAUUGAUGAAGAUAAUUACUUGCCUGAGACGACGCGAGCCGUAAUUCAUGAGCUGUACGAGGAUUUACAGGAGCCCUCCUCCUCCCUCACUCCUUCACCAGCCCUCACUCAGCCACCACGACUAGACUCACACUCAUCGGGUGCUAACGAGGCUCCCGCUGCUGUUGCUGAAGAGAAGAGGGAGGGCACAGGUGAUUCAACAGCUCGAGGAGGCUGCGCGGAAGGCUCCAUCAGCACUGAGGGCAGCAGCAUCACGGUUCCAGGUCAGUCUCAAGUGAAAGCCACAAGCUCCAUGGAGGGAAGCAUCGCUGGGUCCCUAAGAGUUCCCAUCCAAGGCAGCAGCACUGAGGUUGAAGGGCUGGUGGUGGUUCCCAACCUCCACCAUCUCCUGCAACUGAUUGAGGCAGUUCGAAGGAAUUCUUGUUACCUGCAGCUAACGAUGGGGCAGGCGGCGUCCCUCCUCACCUUCGAGGCCGGCAGGGUGUUCAGCAGCGUCAUUCCCUCAGAGACAGCGCUCAGGAAGAGAAUCAGUGGUGUCAUCAAGAAGUAUUUUGAAGAGGUGGACCGUGUGGCUUGGUGGCCUGGCGUGACUGAGGAAGGCAAGAGAACCAUGACUCACACCAGGGAGUACAGCGAGGUGCUCAGGGGCGUACAGUACCCUGAAGGGCUGCAGCCAAUCAUGUUCACACAAACACAUUACGAGGCGCUGCUCAAGCUGGUGCUCACGCUGGAGACAGUGAGUGGGCACGCCGUGGUGCUAGGACCGCCAGGUGUGGGCAAGAUGUCUCUGGCACGUCUGGCAGCCUAUAAUAUUCGUGCCAGAGUCUAUUUCCUGGACGACCAGCGGGAGGAGGCCGGGAGGGUGGCUGCCAUCAGGGCGGCGGUGCAGGCCUCGGGAGUCGGUGGACGCCGUACUGUCAUCCUCCUGCGGCAACACGCCCUUACGCCAGCACUGCUUGACAUGCUGCAUGGUCUUGCCCACACAGGAUGGAGUGAAGGACUGUGGGAUCCUCUCAGGGUUCGAGGACUGCUUGAGGGCAUCAGACAAAAGAGCAGCAAAAGUCCUCGCCCACACGAGAAUCGAUGGAUGACUUACCUGGAAGAGGAAGAGUUGGCUGCCCUCAAGCACAGGCUUAUUACAAACGUCAGGAGGAACCUUCACAUCGUUCUCGUCAUUUACUCACGUCAGGUCUGCGAGGAGUGGUGCCGCCGCUACCCGCCACUGCGCAGCCGGUGGGUGUGGGUGCGGCUGGAUGACUGGGCUAAUGAGACGCAAAGGGAAGUGGCCAGAAGGAUCUUCAUUCCGGCAGAGCUGCCGCCCCACAUCCUACACCAGAUGCAGGUCGCCCUCCCCGCCAUACAUCAGCUUCUGAAAAAGGAGGCGGCGCUGACAGUGACGGUAGCGGAUUUCGUGGAGGCUUGUCGGGUGACGGUGAAACUAUUAGCCCACCGCAGGACACAGCUACGGGAUUCCCUGGCUCUCUUCAAGGGCGGCAUGGACAAAUUACAAGAAACAAGUGGGAACGUUGAGGAACUGAAGGGUGAACUUGCGGAGCUGGAGCCCGAGCUGAAGGCGACGCAGGAAGAGGGCCAGCGAUUGACUCACGGCCUAGCACAGCAGCGGACCCAUGUGUCGCAGAUCAGGGACCAGAUGGUGUCCCUGGAGGAGAGAGUUAAGGAGAAGUGUGAGGCUGUGAGUGCCAUGAACGAGGAGGUGGUGCAGGAGGUAGGGGAGGCUGUGCCGGGCCUCGAGGCAGCGGAGAAGGCGAUCAAGGCACUGGACAAGAAAGAUUUGGUUGAGGUGCGUGUCCUCAACAAGCCUCCGGACCUCGUGCUUCUCGUGAUGGAACCAAUCUGCAUCCUCCUCAACACCAAACUGGAGUGGGCUGCCAUGAAGACUCUGUUGGGGGACCCGUCAAUGAUGAAGAGGCUGGUGGAAGUGGAGAAGGAUUCCCUCAGCGACGCGACUCUGAGGAAACUGAAGAAGUAUACCGAGAGCCCAAAGUUCUUGCCAGACGAGGUGGGAAAGGUGUCCAAACCGUGCCGGCCGCUGUGUGCGUGGCUGAAAGCGUUGGAACAUUACGCCCAGGUGUUGCGGAAUGUUGAACCCAAGAAGAUGCGGCUGAGCGAAAUGGAGCGUGAGCUGAGCACCAUCCAGCUGGAGCAGAGACAGUUGCAGCAACAGCUUGGUCAGAAUGAGAGGGAGCUGAGUGAGCUGCAGGCGCGCUACGAAGGCUGUGUGUGUCGGCGGCAGCAGCUGGAGGGUGGUAUCAAGCGGGCUUCGGCGAGGCUGCAACGGUGCACACGUCUCACCACUGUGCUGGCAGAUGAAGACUCUCGCUGGUCCGCUAAAAUCAAGGUGUUGAUGGAGGAGGUGGAGAACGUGUACGGAGAGUGUACUCUGGGCGGCGUGGCGGUGGCGUACCUGGCGGCGCUUCCCGAGCCUCACAGGAACGACCUCCUGCAGCAAGCCCUGUCCAUCCUCACCGCCAGCUGCAUCGACACUCCUAAGAAGUUCAACCUGGUGGAGACACUCAGCACCUCCGAGGUACGGGAGGAGUGGACAAGGGCAGAUCUUUAUCCUGAUCCUGCGUGCUACUUGCAGGCAGCCUUCGUCACCGCCGCCGCCCGGAGAACUCUUGUAUUUGACCCUGACUGCAUGUGCGUGCACUGGUUGCGGCGCCUCAGAGAGAACAUCGCCGGGGGCGUGGCGGUGCUGCAUGCUAGGGACGAGUCUCUCCCUUCGCGAGUGUUGGCAGCUGCACGCAGCCGCCGCCCGAUGGUGAUACUCCAUACCCCUGCCAGCCUCACCUACAACCUUCGGAAGGUGCUGGAGGUGCCGCCAGUGGUGCAGACUUCUGACGGAGAGCGCGUGGAGGUGACAAUCUUCCUGGUGACCGGCAGCGCUUCGCCCAAACUGCCGCCGGACAUGUGUGUAUAUCUUACCCGCGUGUCCUUCGCCCUGCCACCCAUCGUGCUGGAGGAACGCCUCCUCAAUGACGUGCUGAAGAUUGAACGUGAGGACCUGUACGAGCAGCGCGCCAACCUGACGGCCAGCAUUUCACGGGAUCAGAAGGCGCUCACGGCAGUCGACGACAACAUCCUCCACAAACUCACGCAGGCGGCGACGGCGCUCCUUGACAAUGAAGAGCUCCUCGCUGCCUUCUAUGAGGCCAAGUCUACGUCAGCAGAGUUCCGGACUCGGCUGGCGGAGAGUCGGCGAACCCUGCAGAAGAUUGGCAACGUACGGGACAAAUAUCGGCCAGUGGCCACCAGAGCCAGGCUUCUCUUCUCCGCCAGCACCGCCCUCAGAAGUCUCAACCCCAACUACGUCUUUUCUCUCCAACACUUCCUCUACCUGUUCUCCGUGUGCAUCACUAGCGGGGAUAGAACUGAGGCGUUGAGCUUUGACCAGCGAAUCGACUCCCUGGUGAAGAGUGUGACUCAGAUGGUGGUGACGCAUGUAAGCCGCGCCCUCCGCCCCACCCACCGCCUUGCCUUCACCACCUCUCUCUGCGCUGCCAUCGCCGCUGAGCAGGGCACCCUCAGGCGAGCUACUUGGGCUGCCGUGCUCGAUCCCAACUGUUACGACGAGGCAGCCCUGCUGAAGGCCGUGGUGGCACAGGAAGGCGAGUUCGACCCCAUAGCCAGUGACCUGCUGCGAGGAGUCCGUCUGCACCUCAUCCUUCACGACCUGGUCACGGACGUGGGUCUGAGCGGGAGUCGCGGAAUUGCUGAGGCGCCGCGAGGAAGGAUCUCAGACUUCCACGCCUUGAUGCUGCUGCGGAUAUCCAAACCCCGUUUGUUGGUGGCCGGGGCGCGUGAGGUGGUAAAUUCAACGCUUAGUGAUUCCUCACUUCUGAAGCCGGAUCUUUCCCUCGUCAGGAUGCUGGGACAGGAGGAACGCAAGCAGCCAGUACUGGUAUGGACAGACUACGGGCGAGACGUAGGCGAGGAGGUCUUGGGCGUGGCACAAGCCCGCGGACUGGGCGGCAUCACGCGGGUCAUCACGGCGCCCACGCGUACCAAGGUGACCACUGACCGUUGGUCCUUGUGUGCCCCGUGUCCCCUGCGUCCCCUUCUUGCCCCGGGACAACAGUGAAGGAGGAGGCUGGUGGCGAGGUGGGGAGGCCGCCCCUCGCCGCACUGCUGGAGACCGUCGUGCAGCAGGGGGGCUGGGUCCUCGUGCAGGGUGCUGAUUCCC